GCCUUCGUGGUGUAAUGGUAGCACAGUCGGCCCGUAUUCGAGAGGUCCAGGUUCGAGUCCCGGCGAGGGCA
rfam:Stegodyphus mimosarum contig34697, whole genome shotgun sequence.